rnacentral:rRNA from 1 species
GACGAACGCCGGCGGCGUGCUUAACACAUGCAAGUCGAACGGAAAGGCCCUGCUUUUGUGGGGUGCUCGAGUGGCGAACGGGUGAGUAACACGUGAGUAACCUGCCCUUGACUUUGGGAUAACUUCUGGAAACUGGGGCUAAUACCGGAUAGGAGCUCCUGCUGCAUGGUGGGGGUUGGAAAGUUUCGGCGGUUGGGGAUGGACUCGCGGCUUAUCAGCUUGUUGGUGGGGUAGUGGCUUACCAAGGCUUUGACGGGUAGCCGGCCUGAGAGGGUGACCGGCCACAUUGGGACUGAGAUACGGCCCAGACUCCUACGGGAGGCAGCAGUGGGGAAUAUUGCACAAUGGGCGGAAGCCUGAUGCAGCAACGCCGCGUGCGGGAUGACGGCCUUCGGGUUGUAAACCGCUUUCGCCUGUGACGAAGCGUGAGUGACGGUAAUGGGUAAAGAAGCACCGGCUAACUACGUG